rfam:Camelus ferus unplaced genomic scaffold scaffold67, whole genome shotgun sequence.
GAGGGGAUAGCUCAGCGGUAGAGUGCAUGCUUAAAAUGCAGGAGGUCCUGGGUUCAAUCCCCAGUACCUCCA